rnacentral:rRNA from 1 species
GUCAGGACGAACGCUGGCGGCGUGCUUAACACAUGCAAGUCGAACGAUGAUCUCCCGCUUGCGGGAGUGAUUAGUGGCGAACGGGUGAGUAAUACGUGAGUAACCUGCCCUUGACUCUGGGAUAAGCCUGGGAAACCGGGUCUAAUACUGGAUACGACUCCUCAUCGCAUGGUGGGGGGUGGAAAGGGUUUGACUGGUUUUGGAUGGGCUCACGGCCUAUCAGCUUGUUGGUGGGGUAAUGGCUCACCAAGGCGACGACGGGUAGCCGGCCUGAGAGGGUGACCGGCCACACUGGGACUGAGACACGGCCCAGACUCCUACGGGAGGCAGCAGUGGGGAAUAUUGCACAAUGGGCGCAAGCCUGAUGCAGCGACGCCGCGUGAGGGAUGACGGCCUUCGGGUUGUAAACCUCUUUCAGCAGGGAAGAAGCCACAAGUGACGGUACCUGCAGAAGAAGCGCCGGCUAACUACGUGCCAGCAGCCGCGGUAAUACGUAGGGCGCAAGCGUUGUCCGGAAUUAUUGGGCGUAAAGAGCUCGUAGGCGGUUUGUCGCGUCUGCUGUGAAAGCCCGGGGCUCAACCCCGGGUCUGCAGUGGGUACGGGCAGACUAGAGUGCAGUAGGGGAGACUGGAAUUCCUGGUGUAGCGGUGAAAUGCGCAGAUAUCAGGAGGAACACCGAUGGCGAAGGCAGGUCUCNGGGCUGUUACUGACGCUGAGGAGCGAAAGCAUGGGGAGCGAACAGGAUUAGAUACCCUGGUAGUCCAUGCCGUAAACGUUGGGCACUAGGUGUGGGGGACAUUCCACGUUCUCCGCGCCGUAGCUAACGCAUUAA